rnacentral:lncRNA from 1 species
GGUUCCAGCAGGGCCUGGUGAAGAAGCGCCGAGGCUGGGAGUAGGGGCCUCAUUUGAUGGAGACGGUGGGCUGGAGGCCGAAGGUGAUAGUGCUGGAGACUUAGCUUUGGUCUUGCUAGGGGCCGGAGCUGGAACCGUGGCAGGAGGAGAAGCCAAAGGAGCUGGUGGUGGGGUAGCUGGAGGAGGAGUAGCAGGAGGGGGAGAAGCAGGUGGUGGGGUAGCCGGAGGUGGAGAAGCCGGUGGGGGAGUUGCGGGAGGUGGAGUAGCCGGGGGAGGAGAAGCUGGUGGUGGGGAGCUAACGGGCGGGGGAGUCGCUGGAGGAGGAGUGGAAACUGGUGGUGGUGAUGAAGUAGGAGGAGGAGAGGAAGCUGGUGGCGGAGAAGUAGUUGUGGGUGUUGGAGGUGGUUGAGUAGUAGGUGGAGGUGUGGAAGCGGGUGGAGUCGGCGGCGCCGGCGUGGAUGUCGGAGGAUUACUAGGAGUAGGAGGAGCUUGGCCUAAAACGCCAGCUACAGCAAUGCAAAACAAAGCUGAUAAGAACAAAAACUUAUUAUUAAGCAUCAUAUUGGAAACAAUGGUGACCCUUUAAUCCUGCACACCCUCUCCGCUUAAACUACGCCCAGCCGUGCAAGCAAAUGAG